CUACUAUGGCCCUCCCUCGCCGUCCUCUGAUACCUCCCCGACGACGCCUGGAGGCGGCAGCGGCGGAUGCAGUGCUCCCCCUUCGCCGUCCAGUGACACCUCCCCAUCGACGCCUGGAGGAGGAGGUGGGUACUACGGGCCCCCUUCACCUUCCAGUGGCACCUCUCCAUCGACGCCUGGAGGUGGUGGUGGCUACUACGGCCCCCCCUCGCCGUCCUCUGGCACCUCCCCGACGACGCCUGGUGGUAGCGGCGGCGGAUGCAGUGCUCCUCCUUCGCCGUCCAGUGACACCUCCCCAUCGACGCCUGGAGGAGGUGCUGGGUACUGCGGGCCCCCUUCACCGUCCAGUGGCACCUCUCCAUCGACGCCUGGAGGUGGUGGCGGCUACUACGGCCCCCCCUCGCCGUCCUCUGACACCACGCCUGGCGGUGGUGGUGGCGGGUACAGUGCUCCCCCUUCACCGUCCAGUGACACCUCUCCAUCGACGCCUGGAGGUGGCGGCGGGUACUAUGGGCCCCCUUCGCCGUCUUCUGGCACCUCUCCGACCACGCCAUCGGCGCCUAGUGGCGGCUACUACGGCCCUCCAUCGCCGUCCAGUGACACUUCACCGACAACUCCCGGAGGCGGUGGCGGCUACUACGGCCCUCCCUCGCCGUCCAGUGACACUUCGCCGACCACUCCAGGCAGCGGUGGCGGCUACUACGGCCCUCCCUCGCCGUCCUCUGACAC
rnacentral:lncRNA from 1 species